rnacentral:lncRNA from 1 species
AUGCAAAUGCUCCUCACUUGUCUUACUUGUAAAACAGUUGCUCCAGUCACCUUCCUGGGAGAGAUGUGGGAAGCAGGUGGCUUCCAGAUCUGCCAGCAGCCUCCUGAAAUGGCUGGUUCCCAUAGUCCUCGAACUGUGGUCCAUAUGUGGCUAAAGACACACAAGACCAUUGUGAAGAACAUUUUUCCUUUGAUGUUUGAUAAGGUAAAUCAUAGCCUGCAAAUAUUUUAAGAAUCUUUUAGUUCAUUUGUCUAAAAACACAUUUGCCUUUGCUUUCCCUGGCAGUAAUGUUCUGAUUGUUUUGGAACAGGGAAUCUGUUCUGCUUCCCUGGAAUCAGGAUCAAAUCCUUGCUACACCCCACAACGCUCUGCCUUUACUAUGUACUAGUGCUAAAUAAUGCUAUAGGAACUACAACUUCUUCUUGGUAACAGUAAGCAGGAGCAAACACAUUUUAUUCCCCAGCUCUGCAGCCUCCCAAGAACAGCCAUCACUCAUCAGACAUCCACAACAGCUGUCCUUCCUGCUGGGGACUAUUCCAAGAAGUGACAACUAAGCUCCAGCCCCCAAAAUAUUUGAAAUUCAGGAGAAGUUGAUACUGACCUCCAUACCUAUAAUGAGCCAGAUGGGGGUUUCUGAGCCUUGAGAAAGGCCAGAUUGUGAUGCAGAUUAGAUCUGAAUACAUGGCUGUAGCCCAGCUUUUGCUUCUGAGAUAUUUUCUGUCUUCCUAGGGAGAGAGAGAGAGAGAGAGAGAGAGAGAGAGAGAGAGAGAGAGAUUAUCUGAGAACUGAUGAUCAUUCCUGUACCAACCCAUGCUGCUACUAGAUUUGGAAGUUAAGUCAGUGCAUAGAUGGAUGAAAAAAUAUGAGCUGUAGGAAACAACAGGAAUCAGAGGGGACUUUGUGGCGUGCCUUGAGGAGGACAAGAGGUGUUGACUGCCUCUUCCCCAACAGUGAACUGCUAACUUGGCUGCUGGCCUCACCUUUUUGACAAUGUGCUUACAGAGGUUUCUACAGGAGUAGAGCAAGUUUCUUCGAACUACAAUUGCUUCAAAUCUGCCACUAACA